CUUAAGCCCUCUCUUCCCUAUGCCAGUCCCCACGCCCUCUCUUCCCUGCCUCAAAACCGCACGCCCUCACUCUCUAACUCUCGCAAUCCACGCCUCCACCGCCAUAGCCGCCAACGAAGCUACCGCCACAGCUCACUCUCCACCGCUAGACCGUCGUUUCCUCCGAUUGAGAGAGCCUUGCGACGCUGCCGCUGCCUCCCUUGCACCGACGCCGCCGCUGCCUCCCCUGCGCCGACGCCGCCGCUGCCUCCCCUGCGCCGACGCCGCCGCAGUCGACGCCUCUACCCCAGCCACCGCCGUCCACUGCCGCAAACACGCAGGUUUCAAUAUUAAAUCUCUCUACCUGAUGUUCCUGAAGAAAGAAAUAUUUCCGUUAAGGAUGUAAAUGAAGAAAUAAGAUCUGGAACUUAUACAAUUGAUGAUGUUGUCCUUCCAUUGCCGGGGUCAAGAAGCAUGGAAUUGACUAGUGAAGCUGUUGAGUUCUUGAAGGGGAUCUUUAGUACAUGUUGGAUAUGGGUCUCUUAUUUCUUUUUGUUAAACUAGUUUUUGUCCCGUGCGAUGCACGGCAUAAAAUUUAAGUAACUUUAU